UAAGCCAGCUGACGACAACACCUCUGGAGCCGCCUUGAUAGCGCACUCCUUCUCUGCUGUAUUGCUUGCGUUGCUUGCUGUGUGCUACUUCGUUUCUCUUCACCACAUCACGAAACCACGUCUCUGCCUCUGUGUUUGUUGCGUGUUUUUUUUUUGUGUGUUUCUUCUGUUUUCCCCUCCUCCCCCCUCCCCGACACACACACACACGCACACCGCACACUGAACUAUUCACGGUUCGCUCCUGCAUAGGAAUAUAUAAGCAUAUAUAUGUUUUGUUUGCGCCUGCGUGCUCUGCUCUGCCGCUUUUCUCCUCUCUCUCUGUGUCCGGCCUGUGGUUCUUGCGCGCGCGUGUGUGUGACUCUCUCUGCGUCUCUUUCUUUGCCUCUCACGUAUUCUCCUCCGAUCCGUUUCAAAGCCUCCCAGCUCAUCUUCGUAUCCGCUCUCGAUGCGGCGGUGUUGUUCCGACCCCUCCGCGCUCACUGACUUCGAAUGCUAUGCAGAUUCGUACUCUCACCCCUCCCUUUCCCAUCUCCUCGAUCGUCGCAUUUCGUUCGAGGCUAUCCCUCUUUGGUAAGGGACGGAAAGUAAACGAUGCGAAAGUGGACGCAACAGCGGCUUGCCAAGCCGGAGAAGGACCGCUCGUGCGAACAGCGCACGAUUCAGCUCAAUGACCCGCAUGGCCGCACCAACUUCUGCGACAACCGCAUCUACAGCUCUCGGUACAACAUCUUCACUUUUCUGCCGCUGAACCUGUGGGAGCAGCUUCACCGCCCCAUCAACAUUUACUUUGUGAUGGUCGUGGCGCUGCAGUUCAUUCCCUCUGUGGCGCCAGUCAGCCCCCUCACGACCAUCUUCCCCAUCACCGUCGCAUUCCUCGUCAAUACCGUGAAGGAGGGCAUCGACGACCUGCGCCGCCAUCGGCAGGAUGUUGAGGUGAACGAGCGCAUGUACCAGCGCGUGCGGCCCGGCACACUAGAGUUGGAGGAUGUGAUGAGCGCCGACAUCCGUGUCGGCGACGUUCUCAUUCUGCAUCCCUUCGAGGUUGUCCCGAGUGAUGUGGUGAUUCUGCUGACUUCGCAGGACAGCGGCAGCGCGUACAUUACGACAGAGUCGCUUGACGGUGAGACCGGCUCGAAGCAGCGGUUUGCGAUCCUGCAUCAACUAUUCAAGUACUCUCAGGCCGCCGCCUCACCCGUGCCGUCUCGGCCGCACUGUUGCGGUCUGACCUUCGGGACGACAACAGCGCCUGACAGCGACGCAGCCGGCGUACACGCCUCGGCAGCAAAGACCAUGGGGAAGCUCACAGAUGCUCCGGUAUGGGACUUGCGGCGCUGCUGUGACACCGCCGAGGAUCACCAAUUGCACUGCCUCCAGUGCGCCUUUCGCUCUCGCCUGGUGCUGUACUCUGAGGGUCCGAAUGCGCAGCUGCACUCAUACCACGGAGCCGCCACGGUGCGUGCGCCGCGCAGCUCAUCGCAGACCUGGAGGGAGAGCCGGCCGUCGACAAGCAGCGCCUGCGGUGCUGCCGGUGAUGCGGUGAAAGCAGGGAGCGCGGCCCCAGAGUCGCUGCCUGGCUGUCGUUACGGGUCCUUCCCCGCUCCAGCGGUGCUGCCGAUAUCUGCGGACAUGGCACGCGCAGACGAGGCAGACAUGGGCGAGGCAUUUCCGCGCCAUCUUCCGAUGCCGGUGAUGGUGCCGCCCCCUCUCCGCCAGCGCGCGACCCGUACGCCAGAUUCAAUGGUCGUAGACUCUUUUCCAUCUAUCGUCGACGAGCGCAGCGGCCUUCUCGAGCCAGGUGGCCCGUCGCAGGCGAGCGCUCCGCCGCGCCAGUCCUCAUUGGAGGGGCAGACAGGCGCAUACGAUUACUUUGACGGCCCGGAGCAGACCCUCUCCGUUAACAUCGACAACGUCGUGUACUCGUCAAGCCGCAUCGGCAACACGCACUUCAUCAUCGCCCUUGUCAUCUUCACUGGCCGCGAGACGAAGAUGAGUAUGACGCGCAACGUGCUGCCGACUAAGUGGGCCACGAUCGACAACCGCUUCAACUACCUAACGAUGCUCAUCUUUUUGGUGCAAUUUAUCCUGGUUUCGACGUGCGCCUUUGUCUCCUGCCUGCGUCUCAAGGCCCACGCCCCGCUCUGGUACCUCGGCGCCUCGGUAGACCCGAUCAAGGUCAGCGAGUACUUCCCCAUCCUGCCGCUGCGUUACCUGAUGAUGCUGUCACCGAUGGUGCCCCUCUCCUUCAAGGUGAUGGUCGAGAUCUCAAAGGCGUACGUCAGCUACGCCAUCCGCUGGGAUGAAGACAUGCGCACCGAGGUGGAGUCCGUGUCGGUAAACAACUCAGCCCUGGCCGAAGAGCUGGGACAGGUUGAAUACGUCUUGUCUGACAAGACGGGCACACUCACCGCGAACACCAUGACCUUCCGUGCCUUGGCCACCGUCAACGACACCGUCUUCUCCGCAACCACCGAGGACUUCAUCGAGUCGGACCUGCACCGUCCCCUGGCUAAGGUGGGCAAAGCCAUCAAGGCAACGACGGCACGUGGACAGCACGAGGACUACUACCUCAUGCUCAGUAUGGUCUUCUGCAACACAAUCGAGCCAACGCUGUCGCCGCAGUUUAGCGCGAACGGCAGCGUGGCUUACGGUGCUCGCAGCACCCGCAGCAGUGGGGUCAGCACAAACGGUAACACGUCCUUCUCGAGACGCUGGAUGUCCUCAUCACCGGACGAGGUGGCCCUCGUUGAGGGUGCUGAGCAGUGCGGCUUCUCUUUGCGUCGGCGCAGCCGCACUCACGGAACGGUUGGGCUCUGGGGCGAGGCUGGAACGUCCCUGGAGGUGGAGGUGGUGCGCACGCUGCCCUUCAGCUCCGACCGCGGCAUGAUGAGCGUGCUGGUGUGCUGCCCCGCUGUGGCCGUGAAGGGCGCAGAGGCGGAGGCCAGCGACACCGCCGACGGGGGUAACACUUUUCCACCCAUGAACUAUGUGCUGCUGAUCAAGGGUGCUGACGAGAAGGUGCUGCCACGCUGCACCGACGCCUACAGCCGCUCUCACCUUGAGGACAUCAAGAACCGCCUCGCCGGCUUCUCGUGCGAAGGGCUGCGCACGCUCGUGUACGGAUACCGCAUCGUGGCGGAGGAGGAAGUCAAGGAGGCACUGUGCCGCUUCACCGCGGUAGAGGCAAGCUUCGCCUCCGCGGUAGCUCGCGAGGCGGAGCUGCAGCGCAUUUACGCCCUGCUGGAGCGCGACUUCACGUACUGCGGGAUCACCGCGGUGAAGGACGAGCUGCAGGAAGGGGUGCCGCAGACGCUCGCUCAGCUUCGCCAUGCCAAUAUACGGGUGUGGAUGCUGACGGGUGACAAGACAGAGACGGCAAAGCAAACGGCGGUCGCGUGCGGGCUGCUGACGUCGACCGACCGCGUUAUCACGCUCACGCCGCCCAACGAGGAUCUGCUGGCGCCGACGGAUCACCUGGCCUACGUUUCGGAGAAGCUCUCCGAAAUAAAGGGGAUCUUGGCGCAGGAGGGACCCGCGGUGGAGAUGACGAUGCUGACGCGCUGGCAGAGGGUGCGCGGGUGGUGCCGCCGCUUCUUCUGGGAACGCUCCGGCCUCGAAGAUUUUGUACACGAGUUCACGCAGCCGGCGACGUGCGAGUGCAUUCGCCCUGUUGACCACCCUCUCCUCACGCAGCCUCUGAGCACCAUUCAGGCUCGCUAUGGCCCAGUAAGUCCGUCAGUCACGGACAUGGUGCCAAGGGUGUGCGGUGCGGCGCGCCGGGAACCUGGCUUGCACUUCGCCUCCGCCUUUGGCGCUUGCUCUGACUUCGACAUGUGUGGUCUAAAGCGCGGCUACUGCGUUACGCUGUCUGGCAAGACCCUCCGACUGCUGGAGAGGGAGGAUGCCAUGUCGAAUGGCCAUAGCGCGGUGGUGCGCCUCUUCCAGCUGUGCCUGCUGCAGGCGCGCGCGGUUGUUUGUAGCCGCACCGCUCCCUCUCUCAAGUCGUACGUGGUGGACAUGGUGCGGCGCUCCGGCCACAUCACACUCGCGAUAGGGGACGGCGGCAACGACGUCCCCAUGCUGCAGGCGGCGCAUGUUGGCGUCGGCGUAAAAGGGCGGGAGGGCAGCCAGGCGAAGCUCGCGUCCGACUUUGCGAUCGGCCAGUUCCGCUUCUUGUCGAAGCUGAUUCUCGUGCACGGGCAUACCGCCUAUCAGCGCACAGCCAUGAUUGUGCAGCAGAGCUUCUGGAAGACGGUGCUCAUUGCGUGGGUGCAGGUGCUCUUCAACGUGUCCACUGAUUUUUCCGGCGUGUCCUACUGGGAUUCGCUUAGCCUCACCUUGUACAACGCCAUCCCCACCGUCCCCGUGACGUUUCUGUGCGUGAUGGACAUGCCCCUCUCGCACUGGCUCCUGUGCACGACAACGCGGCUCUACACCAUGUCCCAACGCGGCCGGUACUUCAACGCCACCACCUUCUACGGCUAUGUUGCUCGAGCGCUUCUGCACGGUACCAUGAUUUACUACUUGUCCGUCGCGCUUCAGCGCGGCACUGGGGCGAUCAUGACGAAUGGGUGGGUGCUCGACCGCAGCGGCGACUUUUACGCGCCGUACAUCGCUGUCGUGACGGUGCACACUUACACGGUGUGGACCGAGUCUCACGCCAUCACGAUUGCGCACUGGUUCUGCUUUCUCUUCUCGAUCUGGACGUGCUUCCUCAGCUUCUGGCUGUACGCGCGCGCACCGGCGUCGCCGAACGAGACCUUCUCGAUGCUCCUCAGGAGUCCAUCCUUCUACUUAUCGUACCUAGGUUUGCUCACCGCUGUGUGCGUCUCGCUCGCCAUCUAUGCUAUACCGAAGAUGUUAUGGUUCCCCGAUGCUCUGCAGCUGGAGCGGCUGCUGCUGGCGCAUGUGCGGCAGACGCGUGCGUGGCACCGCGGCUUGCCAGUCCGUGCCCUCCGCGCCUUCUUUCAGGAGGACAAUCCCUCACAGUUUUGGAAGUCCAUUUCGCUCUAUCACGCGCUGCGCUACUCCCCGCCUCCGCGGCAAACCUUCACUGUCGCGGCCGAUUAGGAAGCGGCGGCUUGGUUGAUAUCCGUGAUGAGACGGGGUUGCCGGCUGGCCUGUUCCUCCUCCUUGAGUGGGACAGAGAGCCGGGGAAAAGGAGAGAGACGCACACUCACUGGGCAGAGCUAAUGUGCAAGGGGCACUCGUCACCAAAGUCGAGCCGGGGAUGCCGUCGUCGGUCGCGCGCACACAGCUUUCGUCCCGUCCCGGUCGAUGCAGGGGUGGGGUUCAUGAGUGCGGGUAUCGGGUACUGGUCUCAUGGGGUCUCUGUUUCUCUUUCUGCUCUCUUGUGCGGCAGUCUUUGUGUCCCCUGCCCCACACCCCACCUGCCGAGAGAAAUAAACAGACAAGCACGUGCGGCUUCUUUGACAGGAGCGGAGACUGGGCCAUCGCGUCAUC
rnacentral:misc_RNA from 1 species